rnacentral:tRNA from 1 species
GGGGAUUUGGCUCAGUGGUAGAGCGCUUGCCUAGCAAGCGCAAGGCCCUGGGUUCGUUCCCCAGCUCCG